rnacentral:rRNA from 1 species
UACGGAGGGUGCAAGCGUUGUUCGGAAUUACUGGGCGUAAAGCGCGUGUAGGUGGACUAGCAAGUCGGAUGUGAAAUCCCUGGGCUCAACCCAGGAACUGCAUUCGAAACUGCAAGUCUCGAGUAGUGGAGAGGGAUGGCGGAAUUCCGGGUGUAGAGGUGAAAUUCGUAGAUAUCCGGAGGAACACCAGUGGCGAAGGCGGCCUCCUGGACACUUACUGACACUGAGACGCGAAAGCGUGGGGAGCAAACAGG